UCUUUGAUAGCUCAGUGGUAGAGCAGUUGGCUGUUAACCAAUUUGUCGUGAGUUCAACUCUCACUCAGAGAU
rnacentral:tRNA from 1 species